UACACGACUCGGCGUAAAAAUGUGGACUGCCACGAGUCUCAUAGCAAACGUGUGUGUACGUAGUACGUCCAGCUCCUUGAAUUAGGAUGUGGAAGGUGGUGUUGCUGUUGCUAUGCGUAUCGGUUCUGAGCAAGGUGCCACAUGAGAACAAUAUGUAUAAGCACUCGUGCGACGAGCAGCCUGACGGAACAAACUGCGACGCCUACUGUCAAGUGCAGAGGUCCAGUAUGGUAGCCAAGGGUGCCUGCCACGGUGGAAAGUGUGACUGCCGUUAGUGGUCGGCGUAGUCGCCCAUUUGAGGUG